UACAUGUAGUAGAUAAACUAUUGCGUGCAAUAAUUUACAAUUCUGUCUAGCAAUCCUCUUUUAAUAUGCUAUAUUGUGAAAUAAAUAGGUCAUCUUCAUGUAUAUUUGGUGUAUGAAAAGAUUAUUAAAUGUAUUAUAACAAAUUAAAAUAUCAAAUAAGAGGAUGUGAUAUGAUUGUAAAUGAGACACAAGCUAAGAGACCAAAUAACACAGAAAUAACUAUACAUGUAGGUCACCAUAUGGACUUCAACAAUGAGUAAAACCUGUUCUGCAUAGUUGGUUUUAAAGGCUUCGAAAUGACAAAUGAACAAUUUAAAACAUUUCAAAUGAGAAAACUAAUGGGUGAUUUAUGUAAAAAAUAAUGAAUGAAAAACAAAUAUGUCUGUCUUGCAGGGUUUAUCUGAACUUAACCUCAUUUUCAUGGACUUGUCUGUUUAUUGAAUUCUAAAUAUGUUUCAAAAUAUUUGGUUGAUGGGAUGAUUGUUACAGAGUCCGACAUAGGGUGCAGGCUCAUUGGUUGAUUAUAUUGUGAAUAACUGAAGCCGGCCCCGCUUUGGCAGUCAGUCUCCACAUUGCCACUGGAGAAAUAAAAUAACUAAGAAAAAAAAUGGUAUAAGAAAAAAAAAUUGAAUCACGA
rnacentral:lncRNA from 1 species